GCUCAGUUGGCUAGGCUUCUGACUUCAGCUCAGGUCAUGAUCUCACAGUUCAUGGGUUCAAGCCCCGUAUUGGGCU
rnacentral:tRNA from 1 species